rnacentral:rRNA from 1 species
AGAGCAUAGGGUGGAUGCCUAGGCACUGAGAGCCGAUGAAAGACGUGAUAAGCUGCGAUAAGCUGCGGUAAGGAGCAAAUAUCCAUUGACCCGCAGAUUUCUGAAUGGGGAAACCUACGCAAGAAGACCUUGCGUACUCAUACAUGAAUACAUAGUGUAUGAGAGGGAACCCGGGGAACUGAAACAUCUAAGUACCCGGAGGAAGAGAAAGAAACAUCGAUUUCCUGAGUAGCGGCGAGCGAAAGGGAAAGAGCCCAAACCAGAGGAUUUAUCCUCUGGGGUUAGGACUGCAUAAUUGAUCUGCAAUUGAUAGGAGAACGGUCUGGGAAGUCCGGCGAGAAAGCGUGAAAGCCGCGUAUCCGAAAUCGAAAGCAGCAAGGCAGUAUCCAGAGUACCACGAGACACGAGAAACCUUGUGGGAAUGAGCGGAGACCACUCCGUAAGGCUAAAUACUACUCAGUGACCGAUAGCGCAUAGUACUGUGAAGGAAAGGUGAAAAGGACCCCGGGAGGGGAGUGAAAGAGAACCUGAAACCCUGUGUUUACAAGCUGUCGAAGCACGAAAGUGCGACGGCGUACUUUUUGUAGAACGGUCCGGCGAGUUAUGAUGAGUGGUAAGGUUAAGGACUUAAGGUCCGGAGCCGAAGCGAAAGCGAGUGUUAAAAGCACGGUUGAAUCGCUUAUCAUAGACCCGAAACCGGGUGAUCUAUCCAUGUCCAGGUUGAAGCUGCCGUAAGAGGUAGUGGAGGACCGAACACACAUCCGUUGAAAAGGGUGGUGAUGAGGUGUGGAUAGGGGAGAAAUUCCAAUCGAACCCGGAGAUAGCUGGUUCUCCUCGAAAUAGCUUUAGGGCUAGCCUCUGGUUAGUCUGCCGCAGGUAGAGCACUGAAUUUCCUAGGGGGCGUCAAAGCCUACCGAAGAAUAUCAAACUGCGAAUGGCGGACAGAUGAUGCUGGGGAGUCAGACUGCACGAGAUAAGUUGGGUGGUCAAAAGGGAAAGAGCCCAGACCUACAGCUAAGGUCCCAAAGUGUGUGUUAAGUGGAAAAGGAUGUGGGAUUUCGAAGACAACUAGGAUGUUGGCUCAGAAGCAGCCACACAUUAAAAGAGUGCGUAAUAGCUCACUAGUCGAGAGGUCCUGCGCCGAAAAUGUCCGGGGCUAAAACACAACACCGAAGCUUAGGAAUUCUUUUGAAUUGGUAGAGGAGCAUUGAAGACGGAACGAAGCCAUACCGUAAGGAAUGGUGGACUGUCUUGAAGAGAGAAUGCCGGAAUGAGUAGCGAGAUUGAAGUGAGAAUCUUCAAGGCCGAAUAUCUAAGGUUUCCAGGGUAAAGCUGAUCUGCCCUGGGUAAGUCGGGGCCUAAGGCAAGGUCGAAAGACGUAGUCGAUGGAUAACAGGUUGAAAUUCCUGUACUGCAUCAAAUCAGAAAUGUGGGGACACAUGAGGGAAGCAUGAGCCGGAAAAGGAAAGUCCGGUACAAGCGCAGCAGAGGACAGAUAGGCAAAACCGUCUGUCAACUCAAGGGCGCGAUGUGGAGCGAACCAAAGUAGCGAAGCAUGUGGAGCUUGUGUCGAGAAAAGCCGCUAUAGUGUUUGAUGUACCCGUACCGUAAACCGACACAGGUGGAUGAGGAGAGAAUCCUAAGGCCGGCGGGAGAAGCAUUGUUAAGGAACUCGGCAAAAUGACCCCGUAACUUCGGGAGAAGGGGUGCUCCAGAGAUGGAGCCGCAGAGAACUGGCCCAAGCAACUGUUUAGCAAAAACACAGGUCUAUGCAAAACCGAAAGGUGAGGUAUAUGGGCUGACGCCUGCCCGGUGCUGGAAGGUUAAGAGGAGAGGUUAGCGCAAGCGAAGCUUUGAAUUUAAGCCCCAGUAAACGGCGGCCGUAACUAUAACGGUCCUAAGGUAGCGAAAUUCCUUGUCGGGUAAGUUCCGACCCGCACGAAAGGCGUAAUGAUUUGGGCACUGUCUCAACAAUGCACCCGGUGAAAUUGAAAUACCAGUGAAGAUGCUGGUUACCUGCGCCAGGACGGAAAGACCCCAUGGAGCUUUACUCUAGCUUGAUACUGGGGUUCGGUAUUGCAUGUACAGGAUAGGUGGGAGACUGAGAAGAUGUGUCGCCAGAUGCAUCAGAGUCGAUGUUGGGAUACCACCCCUGCAGUACUGGGCUUCUAACCUGCAGCCGUGACCCGGCUGGGGGACAAUGUCUGGUGGGGAGUUUGACUGGGGCGGUCGCCUCCGAAAGAGUAUCGGAGGCGCUCAAAGGUUCCCUCAGAAUGGUUGGAAACCAUUCGAAGAGU